AGACGCAUUAUGUCAUAUGGCAUGUAGGAAAGUAAUAUAUUCUAAAAUUUUUGUAUUAAUUAUUACUCAGUUCAGAAAUCGUUAUUAGGCUGCAAUCUAAACUUUUCAAAGUUGUUUGCUAAGAUAAUCUUUUGGGCCCAAACCAUAUUAUCUUGGUACACAAAGGAUUUUUAUUAUAAUCAAGACAGUUGUCUUUUAGUUUCUAAAGGAUACGACUUGCUGAAUUACAGUUCUUUGCUUUAAAUCAACAGUUUUUAAGAACUGGCCCGAGGUAACUUAAUCCAUAUCAACGUGGAAUAUGAUUUAUUUCCACAAUGAAAGUCAGUCUACAAACGUUUCUGCGCCCUAAUGUUGAAUGUCACGCUAAUUUGAAUUUAAAAGACGUUUGCAGGAAUGGAAGGGCGAGUUUGAAGUUGGGGUGAUCCCAAACUCUUUGAAAGACAAACAGACACAGAGCAUGCGCACGCUUGCCAACACAUUUUAUAUCAUUCCUUUUAUGUUUCUUUUUCGUGUCCUCUCACCCUAGAGGGAAACAAGUUUGUUAUUUUAGGAUUUGGUUUCUUUGAGAUGAGAGAGUUGGUAAGAAAACAGUGCUAUAAACUUGAUUGAUUCUCAUAAAAUCUUAGCUUUCUUUCCGCAAGAAUAUUUUGAUGUCUGGAAUUGUGUGUGCAUUUAUGUAGUUCUGAUCCUGUGGCUUUUUGGUAUUGUAUUUUUUACACUUGCGUUUUCUGUUUUCAGUGAAUUAUGUCAAUUUAAUUGAAGUUAGACUGGAAAUUUCCAUUUUAGUGCACAUUUUGGGGUUAUAGGUAAGUCUUUUUGGAUAAAUAUUUUGGAAAUUUUAUUACAGACGUCCAGUUUCGUAAUGAAGUGGACAACUCUGUUUCCAUUUAUAUGUCAAAUAUUCGAAAUUACAAGCUUUAUUGUACUAUUAUUGAACGGAACACGAAUAAAAAUGCAGAAAAUCAAUUUAUUUUUCUUCUGAAUUAUUCAACAUUUGAUAGUGAAAUUAAUUACUCCCCAAUAUCACCCAUCAAUCUUAGCAACUUUUGUUUCGUCCCUAAGCUCAUAUCGACCAGGGUUCGAUUUCUGAUAGGGUCAAUGACUUAUUUUUAUCUUAGCUCAGUCGGGAUAACGAUGACUACGGGCUGGACUACCGGGGUUCGCUCCCCGACGUGGGCAGAGGACUUUUCCUCUAGCCUCUGCGUUCAGACCGGCUCUGGGGCUCACCCAUCCUCCUAUCCAAUAGGUACCAGGGUCCCUUCCCGGGGGUAGAGCUCGGCCGGGGCGUGACCCUAACCACUCACCCUUAUCUAGUGCCGACGUCAAGAAUGAGUAGAAGCGAUACCACCUCUCCCCUGUGCGUUUACAUGGCGCGUAAUUUUUUACCGAGUCCAUGCCGACUUUGGGACUUCAACGGGUAUUUGGGGAUCUUUUAUUUUGGGUAGAGUCGCCAGAGUGUGAAGGCGACUGUCUAGUACGAACGUUAAGAAUACAUGGACCUUUGCCGCCACUUUUCCAUACAUCCUUAUGAUUUGGUGUUUAAUUAAGCACAGAGAUACCUUUGAGUCUACUAGAGGAACAAAUAGUCCGCACUGUACUUGCAACCAAAAACAUAAAUUAGAAUUGGUUUCAAUUAUUAUUACAUUAUAAUUGAUUUUGUAAUUUUUUUAUUAGAUUCCUGUACACGCUGUGGUACAAGUACUCACUGUCAGUACUUUUUUUUUAUUUUUGCACUUUUGCAGAACUCGUUUCUCCUUAAAUUCCUGGGAGAGGACUUAGCACUAUCAAAAGCCUUCCUUUAAUUACAUUUAGCCCUGAGCAGAUCCUUUUAUAUGCCUCAGAGGCUUUUGGAAAGAAAGUUAUCUGCCUUCACUGUGCUUCACCGUUUCUACUUCAUCUUACGGAAGUCUGCAUCAUUUUUGAACUUAAUUUGCAGUCAUUAAUCAUGUCGCAGAUUUCAUGACACUUUUGGAAAUGAGAAAAGUUAUUUCUUCUCUUUUUAUAUUUUACGUUAUUUUUAUGUUUUGAAGUCAUUCGUUUCGCAGAAUCCUUUACAGUCUGAAGUAAGGUUAGUUGUGUGAAACAAUGAAAGAAGGUCAGUUAAUUUGUUAUGUAGGCUAUAAAGUUUCGCAGAGAACGAAUAAAGUAUGGACCAGAACUUAAGCUGCAGUUUCUCUUGGUAAAGCUGUCAUUCACUGAACUGUCAGUCAAUUGCCUGAUUGGAGCAAAGCUUUGGCUGCAAAAAUUCUCAGUAGAUUUAAGUAUAAGGCUCGUUUGUAAAUGAAUUAUCAAGCCGUAUCCUCCUUUUCAGAGAUCAAAUACGAUGGAAAGGCAAUGUCGGGGCAAAUUGUGUAGAGCCAUUAGAUUUGAUGCACGCAGUUUUCAGAAUGAAGGCCCCGCGUCGUUUCCUGUAACAUCUGAAGCCACUAUGAGGUCACAUGAACUGAGUCGAGAUAGGUGACGUCAUGUUUCGUGCCUUAAUUGUUAAAGUCUGCUUAAACCGAUAUUUGCACAGCAAACAACCGUCCAUAACAAUCCUCUGCAAAAAUAUUAAAAUAUUUUUUCGUAAUUGAUCUUUCUUGUAGCAGUCAAAUCAGUCGCGCUUCAUCGUUUCCUGCACAAAUUAAUCGCGGCUGUAAGAGUUGAGUGUGAGAGCCAAAAAACCCCUCAUUUUAAAAACUUACUUUGGUACUGAGUGUUUAAAAGCGCCACGGACCUGGACGGAUACCUUGGCUGACACACAUGCUGCCUUUAUUGUUACUGGUUUACAGUCAUAAAGUUUUAACUGCAGGUACGCAUCAUCGAAGCUUCAAGCCAGAAGUCCUUACUGCCUGCAUCAACAGGGCGAUCUUCCUGAUAAUGGUGAUGCCGAUUGACCUCUAAAACGUUGUUUAACUUCUACCAGACUACACGGUGCUACAACCCACAAGACAGCCAUCUUUGUACUAUACUCCGUGAGAACCUAAAAUCAUCCUCUGAGAUUCGGAAUCAGAUUCUCAGAGAUUACAAAGAACGUCAAAUACUAUUCAGGAAUCAGGAAGGACAACAGGUAAAAUUGUAAUCUGCCGUCAUUACAUACCAGGCACUGCUUUAGUUUGAAUACUUUUUGAGUAUCAGUGUUUCUUUUUCUAUUUGCAUUCAACCCUCCAGUUGUUUGUCAGACGCCAUACUACCUGUACUUAGUUUUUGAUUUGACGUUCGACAAUCUGUACAGUCGCUCACAGUUAUAAGUAGACCUGCUGUUAUUUAUUUACGAUAUCAAUAAAGAGUGUUUUCUGAUGUAGGUAACUAUUUUGGAUCGUAGAGUGAUAGAAUAUUACAAAUAUGUACACUGGCCGUACAAAACACGUAGGCGGACCACGGGUUAACAACCCCACGUCCAGGGCGUCAUUUCGGUUCCGUCACCGGGCCUUGUUGUGCUGUGUUCUACUUGCAGGGUUUUAUCCUAGGUUCGCUGCAGUUCCUUAUAGCCGCGGGGCUCAGUCAUUUGGCUCCCAGUGUUAAAGCUCGCACUCGAAGAAAUUAAAAUGAAAAUGACUAGCUUCUUCGAGGAUGUUGCACCGUGUAAUCUUGCAAGGUUACAGAGUUACUGCCUCCAUCAAUAAGAAACCAAAUUGUUUCUUUGAUACAGAAGUCAAGUGAGAAUCAGAUGAACCGAAGAUAUGAAUAGAAACUGUUGAAAACAACUUUCUUCCAAGUAGUUACGAAUAAUAAGAUGUCCUUCGUUGAUUCUUUCUAAAUACCGAGUUACCCUCCUCUCUUUGAGAAGUUCGCCUGCAAUUCACAAGGGAGCAGCAGUUUCUAAGCCAGGCGACCUGUUUUACCCAGCUCUCCCCUACAAUUACAUAAAGUAAAUCCAGCCCACGUUAGGAGGAAGACACGAUUACAAGGGGUGACGUAACUUAAUGCCGACAGAUACCCACCGGGGCACAGUAAGAAAUGAAGUUUUCAUAAGACUAUUGAAAAAUAUAUGGCAUUGGUCUAUUGUUAUACUAAUUAGGUUCCAGGUAAGUAACCAAAUAGGAAGAAAUGACUGUCGUUAUUAAAAUAUAAUAUUUUAGUCGACUUCAGACUUGCCGUUCUGAAAGUUUUGUGCUUUUUCCAGAUUAUAUUUUUUUUAUAAUUGGCCUCUACAUCUUUAGCUCGCGUUAUUUCGACUGACAAGACGAAUAGUCUAAAUAACUCUAUAGAAUGUUACAAUUCUUUCCUUUCACAUUUUGUCUGCUUUAUAAGAUGUAAAAUAAAUUAUUUCCUAUUCCUCAUUUUACGGAAGAAUACGAUCACAGACAAUGCUAAUUGGAAUACAGUUCAAAUGUUCAAACCUGGUGUUGCUUGAAUUACAUUGUUUCCAUUAAAGAGUUCCAGUUUUUAAAAUGUAAAUAUUUAUUUAAUGUUAACAAAAACUUGACUUUUCAAUUGACAGUGUAAAAUGCUUAUUUUGGAUAUAUUUUUUUAUAUUAUAACACACAAAACACAUUUGUAAUGUAUCAUGUUGCUUUGUGUUGGUUUCUCACCGCGGAAACGCGAAGUCAAGCUGGCUUUCAACACGCGUAUGUUUAUAAAAUUGUAAUUGGUGAAUGAAAUGAUAGGGCAUUAAUUGAAUAAUUAACGUCAUGAUAUGAGGAAAGGUAGCUCAUAAUCUUUUCUCGCUACAUUUUAUUAACAGUAAUUGCUUGCAGUGGAAUAUCAAAAACCUAAUUUCAUUCUGUCAUUUAAUUGUGUAAAGUACUGGAUGAAUUAUAUUUAAGACAAUAUAGGAUUAUUUUUUCUAAUAAGUGAACAGAUUUAAUAUCUUGUCUGUUAUUACUUUAUACCUGAAAAGAGUUUCUUCACGUUAGUUUAUACAUAUUACAUUAACCGCGCGGUCUGAGGCAUCUUGCUUCGGACUGGCGAUACGGAAUGCUCGCUGGUUCGAGUCUCGGGGAAAGAAAUUUCUCAUGAGCUUUCGUCAGUGUAUGGGACCGGUGCCAACCCAGCAUCGUGAGGAAAUUGGGGAGCUACAAUCCGGUCAUGAAAGCUAGCAAUGGCUGGGGGUUCGUCGUGCUGACCACACGUCACCCUGCGUCUGGUUGGUUGAUCGUUUACCUCUGCUUAGGCAUGUGAACGCCAGCUAGUCGGCCUUGGCUCUCAGAGGGCUGUACGCCACGGAUUAUUAUUAUUAUUAUUAUUUGGAAGUAUGUAGUUCUUUUGUUUUUUCUGUCUCGAUACAUAAUGUGAGCUCUCUGUACUUGGAUCCCUCUCUUACGGAGGCAAAUGAUAAAUAUCGGAUGACUCCGAGCUGUUUUGUGGUUGACGAGGUGUGCGAUAGCCCGUACUUAGCAGCACGUAAUUUUGCCCCCCGUCUUGGAGUCGCAAGCUUUAUUUCUGACCCGGCACGUGACUAGUCUUGUAAUAGUCAGCUUAUUUGUUAGUCACACAAUUGUUUUGUUAUUAUUCAGACAAGUAUUUAAAUUUGAAGUAUCAGUACCGGUUUGUGUAGUAAAAACUUUAUUGGAAUCUGGAAACCGAAGCGACAGCAUUGAAACAUUUUGUUACUUUGGCGACGGACCGUAACUAGAUCUUUCAUCCGUUGUAGCUCUUUUAUCAGAUUACGUCUACAGUGCAGUUGACGACAUGGACCCGGCAGGAGAUGAGUGUUUGUUUGUUUGUCUUACUGAGAGUUUGGAUGAUGUGACUACACAGGACAUUCUUAACGACAGGAGAGUUUCCGGAUUGAAUCUCCGGUUAGUACUGCGUGUUCCACGUGAUAAUUGCAGUAUUUCAGAGAGCCACUGAAUUUGCUUGUUCUAAUUUUAAUUGAUACAGAGGUUCUGUUUUAAAGACGAUAGAACUGAAAUUUACUACGGUUGGUUUAGAUGUUUAAUAUUUGUUUGUUUGUUUGUUUGUUGCCCGGAAAAAUGUGAUUAAAACAUUUUUUAUACAACUUUCCUUUUCAAGGAAGAAUGUGGGUAAUGAGAUCACCAUUCUGUCUGUGUAAGUCUAUGUGUUCCAUUUUAAUUUUGAACUGAUUUUCAUCAAAUGUAUUAUAAACAUUGCCCUCGUCUUGUUUGAUUUGAUUACCCAAUUAAUAUUUGGUAAAGAGCAUAAGUUAUGGAGCUCCGCAUGAUAUCCGGUUGUUUCUUAGUUCAUAGGACCAAAAAUUCUUCUCAGAACUUUCUUCUCAGACAGCUUAAAUCUGUGUUCUUCCCUCAGGGUGCACAAGAAACUCCACACCCAUACAAAACCAUUGUCUUUCGCUCUACAAGGAAGAAUACAUUUUAAAAACAUCCAUCUCUAGGAAUGUUGAAAGUGUGUGUGUGUGUGGGGACCAUUGAAUACGUAUAGCCAUAACUAACGUCUAUCAUCAGGAAACCAUAUAUUCCGCCCACAUCUUUGUGAGCUGAUCUGAAUAAUACAACAUAAGUCCUUAGCGCUUACACACGUCAGGUGAUAUACUUACUCACACAAACAUAAAUUAUAUCAUUUUUAUAUUAUUGGGUAUUGUUCUCUCAGUUAAUACAUUAGUGCCGUGCUGUGUUUUUGGACAAUCCUUGGUUUGUCAUUUUGGUCAUUCCUAUUUCUAGUGGUUCCCUGCAUGUAGUUGGAUGCGUGACUUAAAUUUGUACACUGUACUCCUGCAUAAAUAACUUGUGUAGUUGAUAAGUUUAAUGAUAUUUGACAACCAAUAAAAGUAUCGCUUGCUCUCGUU